ACAUUUCCACAUCUUCAGGGAUUUCACACAACAAGGUUAGAGUUUUGUUUCCCCUGGAACUGAAAUUAAACCGCUCUGGAGCUGGAAACCAACUCUUGAAAAUCACUGCCAGCAGAGCAGGCCAGGAGGAGAAAAAAUACAGUAUCCCAAAAGUGAGCUACACGGAAUAGUAAAAAUCCAUAAAGAAGAAGGAAAUUGACAUGCCAGAGCAAAGCUCAGAACUAGGAAGGGUUGAUGCUGAUCAUGGACACUGUACUCCCCAAAAGGAGUCAGGCUUCGGCCCUGGGAUUCUGUGCUGAAGGAGCCUGUGUCACACCUGCUGGCCUCUUCUUCCACAUUUCAUCUGGCAAAACACAGGGCCUCAGAAACUCUUCACUGGCAUAUAGAGAUGCCAUCUGCCAACAGCAGUGUCAGGACAAGAGGACUGUACCCUUUCAAGACAAAGAGUUCAAUGCUGAACCUUAAAUCCGAGCCUUCUGCUCUUGCCAGUGGGACAAAUUCCACUUUUUUUCCAGUUCAUCUGUAAAACAUGAGGAGCCAGCUGAGCAUAGUGUUGGUUCAGAAUGAGAGCAGCUGACAAGGGAAAGGUAAAAGGAACUUGUAACUGCUGCAGUUCUAAGAAAUUAUUUCAGUGUGACAAAAAAAUCUAACAACUUCCAAAGGAUGCAGGAAGGCACUAGGACAUCAUCCAACAUUCCCUAACAUAGCAGCCUCCAAGGUAUAAUUAAUGCAUUUAAACACAGGCCACCAACUCCUGUUGUCUCAUGUUUUCUAGAGGUGCCUGAUCCUGUUGUCCUCUCAUGCUUGGUUACAAAGGGCUGCAAACAAGGAGGAGGCAGCUCUGAGAGUGGGAGCAGAGUUAAUGGUCAGAACUUGGGUGCAGGUGGAAAAGCAGGACAUGAAAGAGAAGCUUGGAUAGAAAAAGUCCUGGACCUACUGCUUUAGCUUACACAUAAGAUAUUGGGGUAUUUUGGGGGGUGAAUUCUAACUCGCAUGCUCUUUUAUAUAUGUUGCAGACCGCUGUGUGUUACUUUGAUUCAGGGACCAUGAUACCCAAAGCCUGCUCUUCAUACACAAGGUACCUUCCAAAUGUUCCUUCAUUCUCAGAGACUUAGAAAAUUAAUCUUCAAGGCAAACUGUAAAAGACCAGAUCAUGAGCAGCGUGUGGAGCUUCCCAUGGAGCACCCUGCUCCUCUCUGGCUACACCUCCUCCUCCAACCCUAGCUGUUUCUCCAUCUCCUUAACACAGAGAGGUAGAAUGGCACAAAGCAUUUCCCAGGGAACUGUCCCCACUAAUAGUGACAACAGUGCUGAAGUGGAGCCUGAAUCCCAUCAGCGGGAAAGCCCCCUCACAUCCAGACAGCAGCACUGAUCAGAGAGUCUGGGACUCCCAGGAUGUUACAGUGUGCUAUUAGAGAGGGAUAUUCAGAAACAGUCUAAUUAGUUGCAUUUUCUUUUCUAACCUCAGUCAAAAACCAGUCAGAUUCUGCUUUAGAUUUUGACAUCCUAUUAAAUGCGGAACACAGGCCAAUAGCUUUCAUUUUCCCCUGUGAUGCUACAGACUCCUGUUUUUAUAGUUUGACAGAGAGACAUAAUUAGGCCUCAGAAAGGACAAGUCUAGACUAUUAGUUCCCCACAGAGGCUCCCUGGAAAGUCAGAACCCACAAUUAUUCUCCACUUUCCCACUGAGACAAAUUUGUGGGUAUCUAUCUGCUCUCCUGCCUCUGAUACCCUGCUCAUAACCUUUAAGCCUGAGACUUUACACUCUGUUCUCUUAAAGGGCACAACAACAGACAGGUGUUGGACUUUCCAAAGGGACAAGAGCAAGGUAAGGACA